rnacentral:rRNA from 1 species
GAUGAACGCUGGCGGCGUGCCUAAUACAUGCAAGUCGAGCGAACGGACGAGAAGCUUGCUUCUCUGAUGUUAGCGGCGGACGGGUGAGUAACACGUGGAUAACCUACCUAUAAGACUGGGAUAACUUCGGGAAACCGGAGCUAAUACCGGAUGAUAUUUUGAACCGCAUGGUUCAAAAGUGAAAGACGGUCUUGCUGUCACUUAUAGAUGGAUCCGCGCUGCAUUAGCUAGUUGGUAAGGUAACGGCUUACCAAGGCAACGAUGCAUAGCCGACCUGAGAGGGUGAUCGGCCACACUGGAACUGAGCCACGGUCCAGACUCCUACGGGAGGCAGCAAUAGGGAAUCUUCCGCAAUGGGCGAAAGCCUGACGGAGCAACGCCGCGUGAGUGAUGAAGGUCUUCGGAUCGUAAAACUCUGUUAUUAGGGAAGAACAUAUGUGUAAGUAACUGUGCACAUCUUGACGGUACCUAAUCAGAAAGCCACGGCUAACUACGUG